AGGACGAACGCUGGCGGCGUGCUUAACACAUGCAAGUCGAGCGGUAAGGCUCCUUCGGGAGUACACGAGCGGCGAACGGGUGAGUAACACGUGAGCAAUCUGCCCUUCACAUCGGGAUAACCCCCGGAAACGGGAGCUAAUACCGGAUACGACCACUUCAGGCAUCUGAUGGUGGUGGAAAGUUCUGGCGGUGAAGGAUGAGCUCGCGGCCUAUCAGCUUGUGGUGAGGUAACGGCCCACCAAGGCUUCGACGGGUAGCCGGCCUGAGAGGGUGACCGGGCCACGACUGGGACUGAGACACGGCCAGACUCCACGGGAGCAGCAGUGGGAAUAUGGACAAUGGGACGAAAGCCUGAUCCAGCAACGCCGCGUGAGGGAUGGACGGUCCGUUGGGUUACGUAAACCUCUUUCAGCGCAGACGAAGCGAAAGUGACGGUAUCGACGCGAAGAAGAACGCGAACCGGACCAAACGUACGU
rnacentral:rRNA from 1 species